GGGUGGUAAUGCCGGAUGUUCCACAUGAUCGCAUGUGAUUGUGGGAAAGAUUCUAUCGGCGUGGGAUGGGGUCGCGUCCUAUCAGCUUGUUGGUGAGGUAACGGCUCACCAAGGCUUCGACGGGUAGCCGGCCUGAGAGGGCGACCGGCCACAUUGGGACUGAGAUACGGCCCAGACUCCUACGGGAGGCAGCAGUGGGGAAUAUUGCACAAUGGGCGCAAGCCUGAUGCAGCGACGCCGCGUGAGGGAUGGAGGCCUUCGGGUUGUAAACCUCUUUUGUUUGGGAGCAAGCCUUCGGGUGAGUGUACCUUUCGAAUAAGCGCCGGCUAACUACGUGCCAGCAGCCGCGGUAAUACGUAGGGCGCAAGCGUUAUCCGGAUUUAUUGGGCGUAAAGGGCUCGUAGGCGGCUCGUCGCGUCCGGUGUGAAAGUCCAUCGCUUAACGGUGGAUCUGCGCCGGGUACGGGCGGGCUGGAGUGCGGUAGGGGAGACUGGAAUUCCCGGUGUAACGGUGGAAUGUGUAGAUAUCGGG
rnacentral:rRNA from 1 species